GUUUGAUUAAUAGAUCACCCCUCUGCUUAUCCUAUUUGACAAAUCCACCCCUGGCUUCUCAUUCUACUCGCUUUCACCACUUUCCGGCAACAGUUGACACACACAAAAGGGCUUCCAAUCGAUAUCAAAUUGAGAUGGCAACUGCGGUAGAUGCCGUCGGAGAACCGAUUCCGACAUCGGCGGUGCUGAUGUCAGCGUCGAAGCAUAUCGCCGGUAAAUGCAGAGGCCAAAAUAUCGCCUUUUUGAAGUGCAAAAAAGACGAUCCUAACCCUGAGAAAUGCCUUGAUAAAGG